AUUGAACGCUGGCGGCAGGCCUAACACAUGCAAGUCGAACGGUAGCACAGAGAGCUUGCUCUCGGGUGACGAGUGGCGGACGGGUGAGUAAUGUCUGGGAAACUGCCCGAUGGAGGGGGAUAACUACUGGAAACGGUAGCUAAUACCGCAUAACGUCGCAAGACCAAAGUGGGGGACCUUCGGGCCCCACACCAUCGGAUGUGCCCAGAGGGGAUUAGCUAGUAGGUGGGGUAAUGGCUCACCUAGGCGACGAUCCCUAGCUGGUCUGAGAGGAUGACCAGCCACACUGGAACCGAGACACGGUCCAGACUCCUACGGGAGGCAGCAGUGGGGAAUAUUGUACAAUGGGCGCAAGCCUGAUGCAGCCAUGCCGCGUGUAUGAAGAAGGCCUUCGGGUUGUAAAGUACUUUCAGCGGGGAGGAAGGCGGUGGAGUUAAUAACUUCACCGAUUGACGUUACCCGCAGAAGAAGCACCGGCUAACUCCGUGCCAGCCGCCGCCGUAA
rnacentral:rRNA from 1 species